rnacentral:ncRNA from 1 species
UGACUCUGGAUAACUUUGCGGAUCGCACGGUCUAGCACCGGCGACGGAUCAUUCAAGUGUCUGCCCUAUCAACUUUCGUCGGUACGGUAUUUGCCUACCGAGGUUCUUACGGGUGACGGGGAAUCAGGGUUCGAUUCCGGAGAGGGAGCCUGAGAAACGGCUACCACAUCCAAGGAAGGCAGCAGGCGCGCAAAUUACCCAUUCCCGACGCGGGGAGGUAGUGACGAAAAAUAACAAUGCAGGACUCGUUCGAGGCCCUGUAAUUGGAAUGAGUACACUUUAAAAGCUUUAACGAGUAUCCAUUGGAGGGCAAGUCUGGUGCCAGCAGCCGCGGUAAUUCCAGCUCCAAAAGUAUAUAUUUAAGUUGUUGCGGUUAAAAAGCUCGUAGUUGGAUUUUGGGCGCAGGCGGCCGGUCCGUCGCAAGGCGUGUACUGGACGUCCUGGCCUUCCCUCCGGUUCUCCGCCGGUGCUCUUGACUGAGUGUCGGCGGCGGCCGGAACGUUUACUUUGAAAAAAUUAGAGUGUUCAAAGCAGGCUCUCGAGCCUGGAUAAUGGUGCAUGGAAUAAUGGAAUAGGACCUCGGUUCUAUUUUGUUGGUUUUCGGAGCGCGAGGUAAUGAUUAAGAGGGACAGACGGGGGCAUUCGUACUGUGCCGUUAGAGGUGAAAUUCUUGGAUCGGGCGCAGACGAACGACUGCGAAAGCAUUUGCCAAGAAUGUUUUCUU